ACUGAACUGAACUGAACCACCAAAACGCAGAAAAGGUGCCAGACCUACAACUACUCUUACAGCAGAGAAAACAGAUAAAGCUUUGUAAGAAAAAAAGAAUCAUAAAGAUUUCAGUGCUGUGAAUAAUGAUCAUACUUACCACAAACUAGUAUUACUGGACUUCGCAAAAGGCUAAGCAUUGGUCUUGGUGUAGCGAGAGAAACCGACCUACCUAGAAUUAACAACUAAGCGAGGUCCGCGCAUGUGUAGAUACCAUUUUCUCCGCAUGCGCUGUUCACAUAGACAUUGCAUCUUGUGAAAAGGGAAGAACCAAAGUUUCAGCAAGAACCAAUGUAUCCUUAUGGUCUAUGCACAGACGGGUGUUUUCUGUGGAACGCGUGUCUCAGUGGAUUAGCAGACAUUUUCGUGCAUUUGUCUCAGAGAGAACUACAUCCCCUAAAGUGAUAGGAAGCCUCGUUAUGCAGACACUGGGUCUUCUAGUGUUGCUGAGUGUAUUAGCAGAUAUGUUCAUGGUAUUGUUUAUCAAAACUAAUAAUAAAGCAUGAGUUGUGUUUA